rnacentral:rRNA from 1 species
GAUGAACGCUGGCGGCGUGCCUAAUACAUGCAAGUCGAGCGAACGGACGAGAAGCUUGCUUCUCUGAUGUUAGCGGCGGACGGGUGAGUAACCCGUGGUAAACCUCCCUUUAAGCCGGGGACAACUUCGGGAAACGGAUGCUAAUACCGCAUAAAAUUUUUACCCCCAGGUUUAAAAAUUGAAAGAUGCCUUUGCGUCACUUAAAGAUGGAACCGCGUUGUAUUAGCUAGUUGGUAAGGUAACGGCUUACCAAGGCCAAGAUACAUAGCCGACCUGAGAGGGUGAACGGCCAAACGGGAACUGAGACACGGUCCAGACUCCUACGGGAGGCAGCAGUAGGGAAUCUUCCGCAAUGGGCGAAAGCCUGACGGAGCAACGCCGCGUGAGUGAUGAAGGUCUUCGGAUCGUAAAACUCUGUUAUUAGGGAAGAACAUAUGUGUAAGUAACUGUGCACAACUUGACGGUACCUAAUCAGAAAGCCACGGCUAACUACGUG